GCCCCCCUCUGCCCUUGAAAUGCUGGCAAGUACGCGGCCCCGCGAUCGUCACGUGACGCCGGGGUUCAGCGUAUCCUUGCUGGGCAACCGUCUUAGAGACCAGCACUGCUGGCUGCACCAUGAAUGUGAUCUACCCACUGGCAGUCCCCAAGGGGCGCAGACUCUGCUGUGAGGUGUGCGAAGCCCCAGCCGAGCGGGUGUGCGCGGCCUGCACAGUCACUUAUUACUGUGGGGUGGUACAUCAGAAAGCUGACUGGGACAGCAUCCAUGAGAAAAUAUGUCAGCUCUUGAUUCCACUGCGCACUUCCAUGCCCUUCUACAAUUCAGAGGAAGAACGGCAGCAUGGCCUGCAGCAGCUGCAGCAGCGGCAGAAGUAUUUGAUUGAAUUCUGCUACACCGUAGCCCAGAAAUACCUCUUUGAAGGGAAACACGAAGAUGCUGUACCAGCAGCUUUGCAGUCCCUUCGCUUCCGUGUGAACCUGUAUGGCCUGAGCUCCAUAGAGCUUGUGCCUGCUUACCUGCUGUUGGCCGAGGCCAGCCUUGGUCUGGGCCGAAUCGUUCAGGCUGAAGAAUAUCUAUUCCAAGCCCAGUGGACAGUCCUCAAAUCAACUGACUGUAGUAAUGCCACCCACUCUUUACUGCAUCGGAAUCUGGGACUUCUCUGUAUAGCUAAGAAAAACUAUGAAGAGGCCCGUUAUCAUCUGGCCAAUGAUAUUUAUUUUGCCAGUUGUGCAUUUGGAACAGAGGACAUUAGGACUUCAGGAGGCUACUUCCACCUGGCUAAUAUAUUCUAUGACCUUAAAAAGUUGGACCUGGCAGACACAUUGUACACCAAGGUCUCUGAGAUCUGGCAUGCAUAUUUGAACAAUCACUAUCAAGUCCUCUCACAGGCUCACAUCCAACAAAUGGAUUUACUGGGCAAACUAUUUGAGAAUGACACUGGCUUGGAUGAAGCCCAGGAAGCAGAAGCCAUUCGCAUCCUGACUUCAAUCUUGAACAUUCGAGAAUCUACAUCUGACAAAGCCCCCCUAAAAACCAUCUUUGUUCUGAAGAUCCUGGUCAUGCUUUACUACCUGAUGAUGAAUUCUUCAAAGGCACAGGAAUAUGGCAUGAGGGCCCUCAGUCUAGCCAAAGAACAACAGCUUGAUGUCCAUGAGCAAAGCACCAUUCAAGAGUUAUUAAGUCUCAUUUCAACUGAAGACCAUCGCAUUACUUAGUGACCCAUGAGCUCUGCAUCAAGGGUUAUUCCAGGGGCUACUGAAGAUCUAAUAUAUUCCAGCCUUGCACAACUGCUUUGAGGUUAAUAUAAUCUCUAAUGGUCACUGUGGCUGUGUUUACCAACCAGCUUACAAAAUUCCUGAAAAUUGAACAAUCCACUCUCAUGGGCCAGCGCAAACCACUUCAGCAUACCACUGGAACUCGGGACCUCAAGGUGGGACUAAGCAAACCAGGCACCUGCCUAGUCCUGCCUCCACAGUGACCGUUAUCAGCUCUGCAGAAUGAUUAAGGGCCCCAGCUCUCCCCUUGCAGAUCAGUGUUCCUUCUAAAUAGGAGAUUAUGGGAGUCCCACUCCGGAUAGGCCCAGGACAGCAGAAUUUUAGCAGCUUUAUUGGUUAGUUCCAUCUGAUCUCAGGGCUGUCAUCCCUGCCAAGUCCAGAUGGUGCUGUCAGACUAUCAGAGUUCCCCACACAGCCCCUCCUUCCCCCAGCCUUCUGCACUCCCCUCACCCUCUAUUUGACAGGUUUAAUUCACGUCCCUGGCACCACCUCCUUCCAUUUGAUGCGAAGCCAGCAAACCUAAUACAGGAAGAGCCAAAAAACCCAGGUGCUAAAUCAUCCAAGGUCAGGCUGCUUUCCAGGUCGGCUUUCCAGCCUCCCAGUUGUCUGAGGCAGUCUCUCCUCCAGGAUUUUUCUUAGCCAAAUACGUUCGCUAGAUCUUGCACAUAGCGUCAUAAAAUCUCAAGGAUGGAUGGGACCUUCCAGUCAUUAGCCUGAACCACAGCAUGCUUGAGCUGCCGCCAGCCCUGCCCCCAGCAGCUCUUUUUCCCAGCUGUAAAGCUGCUGUCUGCCAGCUUUUAUCCCUUGGCACUGAGCCAUGAUCUCAAGAAGGCGAUGCUUGUGUUGCUCACAGUGGGGGAAGCAAGAGGAAAGGAACCUAUGGAAAGCCAGGCAUGUGGUUAAGUGCAACACAUUCAAGUUUGUUUAUGUAUCACAUUUAUAGGUGACAAAAUUAAGGUUUAACAAGUUGAAGUAAAGUGUCCCUGGGUCACACAAGCUUUAA